GGGACUUGCUCUGAGGCCUGGGAGCUGACGUACGCAGAGAUGACAGAAAUAACAGGAUUCUGCCCGAGGGCUCCAGAUUUCUCCAGACACAAAGGCUGGAUGCGAAUUCGUGGGAUCAGGCUACACGGCCCUACCCAGUCUGUGUGCUUCCGGCCAGAGAAAAUGUAGCAAAGCCUGUUUUCCAACGUGAGCUUGUACACGCCACGCUCACCAUCUCCGUGCAGAAUUCUGCAGCUCCUGGCUGAGACCUGCGCAGAGAACAGAGAGACGCAGACAGUAGAAUCUACUUUGAAAAUCUGGGGUCAGGAAGAAGGUAUCACUACUCCUCCCGUGAGGCCCUGUAAUUCAAGUUUCCUAACCCAUCAUGCCUCUUUACCAGCCUGCCCUUGGAAAACAACAGCGAAGAGCUUGAGUGAAUGCCAGGUGAUUCUAUUUGGCUCAACAAAUAUUUGUUAAGGCGUCUGCUGAAUGCCAGGCACGGCGACGGGUUCCAGCAAUUACUGCCUGCAGCCUGUGCCUGUGAACUGGUUGGCCAUGUUAGCUGUUAGUUAGCAGGGGACAAAAGGACUGAAGGCCAAGCCAAACCUUUUCAAAGAGCAUCCCAUAUGGCCCACCAUGAGAAAGAGGCAGAAACAUAAGGGGAUCCUCUCUCAGGAGAACUCUUUGGCGUGGCUGCUCAUCUUGCCUUCUGAAUCAGAGUAGAGUCCACAGAGCUUGGGAUCUCAGGUCUAAAGGCUUGGUUCAAUUCCUCCACUUAAGGGAACAAAUGGACGAGCAUCUGACCGCUGAGUCUCAGCUUCCGUUAACAUGGCAUGAAAAUAACACUCGCUCUGCCUGGCAUGAGAUGCUGUAGUGUGGGCCAGUACUCACUCUCUCAAUCUCUCUGUCUCUGUCUCUCCCUGUCUCUGUCUCUCCCUGUCUCUGUCUCUCUCAAUCUCUCUGUCUCUGUCUCUCCCUGUCUCUGUCUCUCCCUGUCUCUGUCUCUGUCUCUCCCUGUCUCUCUCAAUCUCUCUGUCUCUGUCUCUCUGUCUCUGUCUCUCUCAAUCUCUCUGUCUCUGUCUCUCCCUGUCUCUGUCUCUGUCUCUCCCUAUCUCUCUGUCUCUGUCUCUCUCAAUCUCUCUGUCUCUGUCUCUCCCUGUCUCUGUCUCUGUGUGUCUGUGUGUGUGUGUCUGUGUGUGUGUGUGUGUGCGCCUGUGAGAGAGAGAGAGAGAGAGAGAGAGAGAGAGAGAGAGCGCGAGCGAGCCCUGGAGAUUCCCAGUCAGUACAUGUGGGUGGGCCUGAGAUUCUGCAUAUCUAACAUGCUCCCUGCCAAUGCUUCUGAGGACAGGCCAGGGAUUGUGCUUUGAGUAGAAGAAUACAAACCACUUGUUAGUCAGAUAGAAUGCGUGGAAUAGAUGCCUAUGAUGGCACACCCCUUUUUUUUUUUUUUUUUUUUUUUUUUUGGAGCUGGGGACCGAACCCAGGGCCUUGCGCUUCCUAGGUAAGCGCUCUACCACUGAGCUAAAUCCCCAGCCCCUGAUGGCACACCCCUUAAUCUUAGCACUUGGGAGGUAGAGGACGGUGGAUCUCUAUGAGUUCAAGGCCAACCUGGUCUACAGAGCAAGUUUCAGGAUAGCCGGAGCUAUAUAGACAGACCUUGUCUCCAAAAGAAAAAAAAAAGAAAGAAAAGAAAGAAAGAAAAGAAAAGAGAAGGAAAAAAGAAAGAAAAGAUGGACUAAUAUACAGUGCAGACUACGUAAAUAUUGAAAAUGCGUUCAGAAUCCCCUCAGAGCCCUACUAAUUGAUGAGAACUAGGACUUCUAUGGCAUGGUCACACCACACUCUGGUGAAAUCAUUAGAAGAUAUUAAUCCAUCCAAACUCAGAAGUUUGGUCAAAGGGUGAAAUAAAAGGAGGUUGGAGGAGAUGGCUAAAUGGACAUACGGGUAAAUUUCAGAUCUCCAGAAUCCAUAUUAGAAGCCAUGAAUUUCUGAUACGGGCAAAGAGAUAAUUCAAUGGUCAAGAAUUCUGGGAUUAAAGGCAAGCACCACAAUGUUCACCCAUGAAAUCCCAAGACUGGACCAGAUGAUGCUAAACUGGACUUCAUCCAAAUUGUACAAAGAUACCUCUGAGAACAUUUCAUCCCUUCUCUGGAUACUGACGUCACACAUGAUGACAAAUAGCUUCCCUGUUCUUCCAGGUGCCUUCAGGAAACAUUUCUUUACUUCCCUAAUAAAAGCGGCCUGCUUACUCACAUCCUCAAGAGUAUCAACUAGUUAAUAUUUGUGUGACUCGGGGGCUUUCCUAGUCCCAAGUUGUCUGGAAGAAAUGAGCUUCACUCUGCUCAGUCCAGUUACAGUGAGGUGAUCCUGUUCUUAGCCCCUGCAGGCCUAAGCUUCCAAGGGACAAAAUGGGGUACAACUGAGGCACUUGCUGAGUUAUAUAGAAAAUGUCACAAUUAUAAUAAAAGCAAGAAAGCAGCAGGCCUGGUGACACACACGCCUUGCAUCCCAGCGCUCGAAGGUAGAAGCAGGUGGAUCUCUGAGUUCGAGACCAGCCUGGUUUGCACUGCGAAUUCCGGGCCAAGCAAGGCCAUAUAGUGAAGCCCUGUUUCAAAAAAAACAAAAGCAAGAAAGACCCUGUUUUUAGGUUGACAUUAUCCCUGUGGGUUUUUUUACCUGCAUUUAAAAACACUUGUUAGUUUCUGCCUUCUCUUAACCUAUAGGGUUAGGUUCAACAAGAAUUAAAGAAAAGGGGACUGGAGAGAUGGCUCAGUGGUUAAGAGCACUGACUGCUCUUCCAGAGGUCCUGAGUUCAAUUCCCAGCAACCACAUGGUGGCUCACAACCAUCUGUAAUGGGAUCAAGGUCCUCUUACGGUGUGUCUGAAGACAGCUACAAUGUACUCAUUAUAUAUACAAAAUAAAUAAACAAAUAAAAAAGAAUUGAAGAAAAGCAAACAAGGUUAUAACCAGAGUCUUAGAGCCUAUUUCCCUCCAAAAUGUCUCUGGAAAGCAGCUGGGUUGGGGACUCCAGCUCUAUUCCAAACCUGUUGAAACAGAGGGGAGUCUGGCCUAAAGGAGGAAGGCCCGGGACAAAUGAGUGGCGACAGUUUAUCUGAAGCUGGCGCUGGCUUCAUUAAGAGGCCUGGUGCGGUUUAUCUGCUUCUUGUCCACAGAGCCAGCUGCUCUGAGCACUGAGUCAGGGCCUGUCACCAGCCCAGUCCCGGUGGCGUCAGGUUGGAAGGUUCUGAAACCAUGAGUCCCCUCCCUUCCUCCUCUUCAAUCUCCUCUGGUCUCUAACUGCCUGUCCUCAAGGGGUCAGAUAAGAGCUGUGAUUGCUGGAAAGAAGCUCGAGGCCCUGUGUCCUUGGGGACAGUGAGUCUUCCCCACAACCAUUUGACUGCUCCAGUAAAGGAGGUAAAGGACAGAGAGACUGCUCUUGGCUUUAAUGCAAGCCAAGGCACUUGUAUUAAAUUGCCUUUGUCCAUGGCACAGUCUCAGGAUGCGCUAUGGGAUAAACUUCCAUAGUUCAUAAGAAGAAGCCCAGAAUGCAAAGCUGGUGUUGGUUGCUUGGUUUUAAAGCUAGGAUCUCACGAAGCAGCCAGACUGGCCUCAAAUUCAUCUGAAGCAGAAGCUGACCUUGCACUCCUGAGCCUAUGUCUCCUGUUACAAGCACGUGCAACUACACCCUGUCCAAAGCCUCUUCCUUAUAUUCCCCAAGAGCUUGGGAGAAAACUCGAGAACAAAACACAAACAUUCUGAGUCCUAGACUAGCCCUUCCUGAGCUAGCAAGGCUCAGUCCUUCCCUCAACUGUCAUUAAAUCCCCAGCAGGUGUGGCUGAGAGCCAAGGUGUAUCAUGUGAUUCCAUUGCACUCUGUAGCCCAGCUCUUGAGAACCAUCCUACAACAGGUGCUAAAACAUCCUACAGCAUAAGCUAAAAAUGAAAAGCAAGCGCUCUACCACUAAGCUGCACCCUCAGCCUCAACUAUAUGCCAUAGACCUGAAAAACUGAGAUGACCGACUUCUCCUGUACCAAAGAACACCAUUGACAUGUCCUGCUAUUGAAAUUUGCUUCCAAGUGGCCAUUGCAUUUCCCAAGGGAGGUAAAAGACAGUAAAUGCAUUUACCCAAGUCAAGGAAAUGGUUGCUUUAAUGGAAGUGUGGGUCUUUAAAACCCUCUAAAUCUGCCAGGACCCAGGGAAUUCCAAGUUCAGCGUCUUUGGUUUGUCCGGGGGGCAGGGGGAUGGGGAAAUCCUGCUUGCUCUACAAUAUCUGCCUCCCUUCCCAGUACCUCAUGUUCAAGAGUCAAGAUUAUCACCAAGAGAAACUAGAAACAGCAAUAUUCCUAAGAACUUUCUCGCUGGUAUCUGAGAGCCUGUAAUCCUCUUUCUCUGUAACAGAGAAGCCAGACACCAGUGCAUGCACCCAGAAUAGCAAGUAGAGUCACGGCAGAGAGGAUUGCAGAUUUGGCCAGGAGACAGCCAGGCUCAAAGGGUACAGGGGCAAAGACCUCGGAAAGGUGAGGCUGUCAGCCGGGGUGGUGCUGCCCGUUUGGGAGUUUGCCGGCUCUCUCCAGUGAAGAUGCUAUUAAGAACUUUCAGAAGCAGCUGAUUUAGGGAGCCCUACUCAGAAGGCAAUGUUCCCUUACACUAACUACGUAUUUGUUGGCCCCUUGAGGACUGAAGAGGAGAAAGUGCCUGAGCUGGGAUGCUGGAUCUCUCCAAACCACAGGACCUGAUGUGGGGGUCAGCGCAAGUGACGACCCAGAGACAAUUUGACACCGCGCUGUCUGAGCAACACGCUGGUGUGCACCCUCGGACCGUGUCGCCUGUGUGGCCUGUCUGCAACUGCAGGCUGCUGUGGACUUGGGAUUCUGGAGCCAAGCUAUCUGUGUUUAAAUCUCCCCUCUCCUUGUUAUUAGCUGUUUACCUAAUCUCUCUAAGCCUCUGCUUCCUUGUAUGUUAAAUGGAUGUAAUGAGAGUAUUUACCUCUUGGGAUUAAGUAAGAUCAAGUGCUCAGCACAGGGCUUGGGUCCAUGCUAAGCACCUCGUAAAAGUUAGCUCCAAUCACUUCUUUCUUUCUUGGGGCUUUUAGGGGAGGGAUUCCACCCUUUCAGAUGCCUAUGUCUAGCCCAGAAGGACUUUCCCUUUGCUGUCUGUUCCCUUCAUUAUAAAAUGAGAUUAGCUCUAAUGUCCUCAGCCCAGAAAAUGUCCUUUCUCUCUUAGUUCCUUGGAGGAAAAAGGGGGCAGAUGGGUUAUUUCGGUCACUACUUCCAAAACUCUGUAAACAGAGAAAGAGCAGAAAGCCUAGCCGGCCAAAUACCUGGAAUUCAGGGCCCACUUGGCCUCUUCUGUCACCCCUCACAGUUCCUCUGCCCGGGCUCCACCCAGCCCUGUUGCCCCUGGCAACUGAGAUGGGGGGUGGGCAGCUCCAAGAAAGGUCGGGAGAAAGGUAUGUGAAGCCUGUAAGUGGCUCUCCCCAGCUCCUCAGAAAGCUGCUUAUCAGGGACUGAAACACUGGCCCAAGCUUGCCACGACAGCAGGAGCUGCCUGAGAAGAGAGGCUGAGAUAAAUGAAGUAUCCUUCAUCCCCAUCAGCGCGGGCCAGACAGAAACCAGGUGCGAGGCAGCGAGCCUUCAUCUUCUGUAAACAAUCUUCCACCGCCCACUGCAGCAGCUAGAGGGUGAGAUGGGGAUUAGAGGAACAGCUUCUGCAGGCCUGGGGCCUCUCAGCUGGACAGAGAGUUAAAGGGUACUGGAGAGAUAGCUUGCUGCCAGGGAAAGAUGCUUGAGGAAACGCAGCCGUUUGUCAACAGGGGGCUCGCUGGACCUGGCAGGAGAGAAUCUGAUAUCUAAACAGUUCCCUGUGUCUCUGAAGCACUCUGAAAAGUUCGCCAGCUAAAUAUUUGAUUCCACAGCAGAUAACAGCCCCGGGCUCUUCCCACGGGCUUGAGAAAACUGGCCCUAGAGAGGCCUGGACUUGGCUAAAACCAGACAGGGCUGGAGGUGAGGUAGGCACAUCCUUGCCCAGUUAGGGGCCAAGACAGGACCUCGCUGUAAAUCCAUGAAGAGGAUUGGAGUCUAACUCCCUCUCCAAGGAGAUUCUUCCCUCCUGAUUCUGCACCUGCUCUCUACUCACGACCCUUUUCUUCAACAAAGGUUUCUCUUGCAAGAAAAAUAACCAUGACCCCUGUGCCCGGAUGGAAGAGAGACGCGAAUUUCAUCAACCGGAAGUUACAAAACAAAGCUAAGUGCUCGAAUCCCCUCAGGGAGGUGGAGGCAGUCCGGCCUGGCAGCGGGAAAGAGCUUUUCUGUUUAUAAAUCUUUAGCUUUCCAGCAAUGUUGAGAAUGGCGUCUCUAGUUCCAAGGUCUUCCGGAGAUAAGAGAAUGCACGUCCAUUGCAAAGCAGUAUUGCCUCCGAGAGAUGGACAAAUGUUGGAAGGCAGCAGAGACUUACAGGAGCUCCUGGGCCUUGAGUUCAAGCCUCAGCUCUGCUCCUGUCUCCAGGUUCCUGCCCUGUGUGAGUUCCAGUCCUGACUUCCUUUGGUGAUGAACAGCAAUGUGGAAGUGUAAGCUGAAUAAACCCUUUCCUCCCCAA